rnacentral:rRNA from 1 species
GUGAGGAAUAUUGGUCAAUGGGCGGGAGCCUGAACCAGCCAAGUCGCGUGAAGGAAGAAGGAUCUAUGGUUCGUAAACUUCUUUUGCAGGGGAAUAAAGUGCAGGACGUGUCCUGUUUUGUAUGUACCCUGAGAAUAAGGAUCGGCUAACUCCGCGCCAGCAGCCGCGGUAAUACGGAGGAUCCGAGCGUUAUCCGGAUUUAUUGGGUUUAAAGGGUGCGUAGGUGGUUUGAUAAGUCAGCGGUGAAAGUUUGCAGCUUAACUGUAAAAAUGCCGUUGAAACUGUCGGACUUGAGUGUAAAUGAGGUAGGCGGAAUGCGUGGUGUAGCGGUGAAAUGCAUAGAUAUCACGCAGAACUCCGAUUGCGAAGGCAGCUUACUAAGCUACAACUGACACUGAAGCACGAAAGCGUGGGGAUCAAACAGGAUUAGAAACCCUGGUAGUCC